UCGCGUGCUCACCUUCCCCAAUCCCCUCCCGAGGAGACAAAAACGAGCGCUCCCAAUCCUUGGAGCCGCGGCCGCCGCAUCCCCAUCUCCAGCUCCGGCUCCGGCUCGUCGCGGCCUCCCCCCACCGCAUCCCCAUCUCCGGCUCGUCGCGGCCGCCGCGCCCCCAUCUCCGGCUUGUCGCGGCCGCCGCGCCCCCAUCUCCGGCUUGUCGCGGCCGCCUCCCUAGCUCCCCACCGCGCCGGCCUCCUCUCCGGCGAGCCGCCGUCGCCCGCGCCCUCCCGAUCUGGGUCAUCAAGGCAAAGGACGAGCGGCUCUUGCUGGCACGGCCGCGCUCACCUCGGUCUUCAUUGGCUCCGGCGAGGCAGGGCCGUGGGUGUCGGCUGCGGCCUUCGUCGGCGGCGCGCUAACCGUACCUCGUGCCGUCGCCAUCGCCGGGAAGAGGGGCAGGUGGCGGCUGCACUCCAUCUCUCCCUCGUGCUCUCAGUCUGCACUCUCCUCAAUGGCGGGUCAGGAGGGGAAAAGGUGGAGGUCGUUGGGAGAUGGUUGGCCGCCAGAUCCCCUCUCCUAUAUGAUGUUGGAGAUAAAAUCCCCAUGAAUUUAGGUUAGGGUCUGCCAAAUUUAGUCACAGUUAAAGAUGUUAAUGCUGAUGCUGUUUUUGUUGCUUGCCUCAUGGAAGAACACAUGGUUCUUCUAUCAGGAAAUUAUUAGAGAUCUACCGUACCCAAGCAGAUUGUUGAUCUCUCCGCGGAUUUCCUGUUGCGUGACAUCAAUGAGUAUGAAGAGUGGUAUGCCCAUGCUCAUAGGGCACCGGAACUUCAGGGUUUGAGACCCGUUUUCCAUGCCCCCUUCCUCGAUCUGUGGCUAUGCCGUUCUUAAGCUGGAGCGGCUGUGUUCUUGUACAGGUUUGUGCUUGUGUCUGGUUAUUGCUAGGGGAAUAGU